rnacentral:ncRNA from 1 species
CUGUGCUUAAUGAUGGGAAAAAGUAGCCUUUGUCUUCUUUUGAAGAGAGCCGCGCUUGGUGGGAAGCGGUGGAGAAGCGAUGGCGAAUCCGUCCCUGAGAGCUGGAUCCGCACGAAGCGGAUCACACGGAUCAUUUCGUUAUCAAUGACUAAAGCGGUCAGCAGCAGCGCAAGGCAAGCUGCUGGCAAUUUGGGUGGCAACGCGGGUUUAUAAUCUCGUCCCUUAU